rnacentral:rRNA from 1 species
UCUUUUAAUUGAAGGCUUGUAUGAAUGGUUGGACGAGAUAUUGACUGUUUCAUUUUAAUUUUUUUUAGAAUUUAAUUUUUUAGUUAAAAAGCUAAAAUUUAUUUAAAAGACGAGAAGACCCUAUAAAUCUUUAUAUUGGAGUUAUUAUUAUUAUUUUGAUUUAUUUUAUAAUAAUAAUUAAUAAUAUUUUAUUGGGGUGAUAUUAAAAUUUAUAAAACUUUUAAUUUUAUUUACAUUAAUUUAUGAAUAAAUGAUCCAUUUUUAGUGAUUAAAAAUAUAAGUUACUUUAGGGAUAACAGCGUAAUUUUUUUGGAGAGUUCUUAUCGAUAAAAAAGAUUGCGACC